AAUGAACGCUGGCGGCAGGCCUAACACAUGCAAGUCGAACGGAUCCUUCGGGAUUAGUGGCGGACGGGUGAGUAACGCGUGGGAACAUACCCUUUGGUACGGAAUAGCCUCGGGAAGCUGGGAGUAAUACCGUAUGUGCUCGAAAGAGGAAAGAUUUAUCGCCUUUGGAUUGGCCCGCGUCGGAUUAGGUAGUUGGUGGGGUAAUGGCCUACCAAGCCGACGAUCCAUAGCUGGUUUGAGAGGAUGAUCAGCCACACUGGGACUGAGACACGGCCCAGACUCCUACGGGAGGCAGCAGUGGGGAAUCUUAGACAAUGGGGGAAACCCUGAUCUAGCCAUGCCGCGUGAUCGAUGAAGGCCUUAGGGUUGUAAAGAUCUUUCAGGUGGGAAGAUAAUGACUGUACCACCAGAAGAAGCCCCGGCUAACUCCGUGCCAGCAGCCGCAGUAA
rnacentral:rRNA from 1 species